GCGGAGGGCACUGUCGUGGUAGAUGCGGCUCAUUUUCCCCACGCGGAGGCCCCGCAGCUCCAGGAAGCAGGCGGCGCGUGGGGCGGGGCACCUCAGGGACAGGAGCUUGGAGGUCGCUGCAGCACCGGCUGGCUUUCCCGAGCUGUCACCCGUCACCUUGGACAGCAAUACCCUCCUAUACGUGUGCCCACUCCUGUGCUGCAGGACACAAAGCGAAUGACACCAAGGAGCAAAGCAGAGAUCACACGGAGAAAGCGAGAUGGUAGCCGAGAAACGUCCUCCAUCUGGUACCCAGGCUCUGUGAAGGACGGACCAGAGCACUGUAAGAAAGAAGAAAGGCGGAAGCCUCAGGUUCCUCCAGGCCUGGCCCCCUCUCUACCGUGACCAAUUGAUUUCACAAAGAAACAAUGCCACCCAUCUCGACGGAUGGCCAUCACACCCCGCUUUUUCCUUGGGAUGGUUGUUCUGAGAGAGCCCCUGGAAGGAAACUCUCAGAAGAGGACUGAGGAUUACUUCCUGAUCUGAUGGCAUCAGGAACACUAAUCCUCGUGGUGGCUAAUGACCCUUUGGCAUGAAGUGACUUCAAAAUGUCUAAGGCUUUAGCUGAGCAUAGAGCCCAGCUACUGUGGAGGCUCAGUCAGGUGGUUUGAUUGAAAAUGGCUCCCAUAGGCUCAUAGGGAGUGACAUUAUUUGAAAGGAUUAGGACAGGUGGCCUUGUUGGAGUGGGCGUGGCCUCACUGAGGGAAUCAUGUUACAGAGGGGUAGGGGAGGGGGGACUUUGAGGUUUCAGAAAUUCAAGUAGGCCUGUGGCUUGCUCUCUUCCUGCUGCCUGUAGAUGGAGACGUGGAACUCUUAGCUACCAUGUCGGCCUGUAUGCCGCCAUCAUGAUAAUAGACCCAACCUCUGAACUGUAAGCCAGCCCCAAUUAAAUGUUUUUCUUUUCUAAGAA